AGAGAUCUUAAUACCAAGAAGCUGCCUUACAAUCGCAACUUGUGAACCCGCAGAGCAUCUCUUUCCUUUUCUAGUACCUUGGAAUGCCCUAGUCCCUGCUGAGAAAGGAAAAGGCCCUUCCUUCAAAUGCCUGCUCCCAGGUUUGUCUUGCUGGUGCAGCUGCGGAAUGUCUGUCCCUCCGACAUUAAAUGCCGAUGCAGAAGGGUGAGUUCCCAGGCCAAGAUUAGCGUGAUGGGAUGGUGUCUUCUCAAGUCAAUAGGCCUUUGGAAAAAGCGUGUGGAUGACUGAAGAGAACGGCGUUGGAGGCCCACAAAGGACAACGUGAAGCCCAAUGCAGCCUUUUAUCUUCCCCACGAAACAGAUGAUCGUGCAAACUCUGCAAGUGGCCCCAGUGAGUCAACCUCCUGGAAACUGACAUGACUUCCUGGAUGGCUCGAAAAAGUAUAAUGGCUUUAAGCUCUGAGUUGAAACCCUUAAAUAAAGCACUAAAUUGAAAGGACA
rnacentral:lncRNA from 1 species